CUCCAGUUGGAUCAGGGUGGCUUAUAUCACAGUAUCAAGGACUGUUCCACAAAAUUCAGAGCAGCUGGUUGAGGCUGGUUUCACUGGAGGCCAACAGUUUUCAUGCACUCCUGGUCACACAAGUGAGUCACCAUGACAAACAGUGAAGAGCAGGACAAGAAUUUACAGUAAUACGCAGUUGCUCAAUUUAGAUCCCUUGUGACCCUGAUGGAGCAUGUGACAAGACAAACAACAGAAAGGGCACUACUAUGGCAGAUAUAUGCUGCGUGUCAUGAUAUUUUAUGGAACAAAAUGAAGCUGUGGGUUAAAGGAUGCUGUCAUGGAGCUAACAAACUUUCUAGUGACUUGAAGGCUUUGAAAAAGUAUGAAGUAAAGAAGUAACAAAAAGAAUCCUGAAGCUCCUGAACUAGAUCUAAGAGUGCACUUCCAGAUUUAAAUUUGGAAAGUCUCUUCCCCUUGUAUGCACCCUCAAGUGUGACCUUGCAAUUUAAAAAGGCAAGGGGGUGAGAGAGACAACUGACAAAGGAAGCUUAUAAAUGAGAUUUAACUAAGGGAUAUAAUCACUAUGUGUGAUUGAUAAAUGUAGUGAGUUAAAUAACUACACUGGGAAAGUAAAGAGAAAAGUAAAAGACUGAGGUGUUCAGAUACCUCAAUUAGGCUCCUAAAUUCACUUUAGACUUUUCCUUCCUUCUUUAUGUCCUUGUGACAAAGUACUUCAGCAGAAUUUUCAGAUUCAUUGGAAUCUGACAGGACUACACUGUGAGAGCUUCUGCUGUGGUCUUGAACUUUGGACUUCUGGACGGUCAACUAUGCAUCUAGCACUCAUACCACUUCAACCCCUAUCACUUUUGGCUACAUCAGAAUAA